AAUAUUGCACAAUGGGCGAAAGCCUGAUGCAGCAACGCCGCGUGAGCGAUGAAGGCCUUCGGGUCGUAAAGCUCUGUCCUAAGGGAAGAACAAAUGACGGUACCUUAGGAGGAAGCCCCGGCUAACUACGUGCCAGCAGCCGCGGUAAUACGUAGGGGGCAAGCGUUAUCCGGAAUCAUUGGGCGUAAAGGGUGCGUAGGCGGCCCUAUAGGUCAGAGGUCAAAGGCUGCGGCUCAACCGUAGUAAGCCUUUGAAACUGUAGGGCUUGAGUGCAGGAGAGGAGAGUGGAAUUCCUAGUGUAGCGGUGAAAUGCGUAGAUAUUAGGAGGAACACCAGUGGCGAAGGCGACUCUCUGGACUGCAACUGACGCUGAGGCACGAAAGCGUGGGGAGCGAACAGG
rnacentral:rRNA from 1 species